AGUGAACGCUGGCGGUAGGCCUAACACAUGCAAGUCGAACGGCAGCACAGUAAGAGCUUGCUCUUACGGGUGGCGAGUGGCGGACGGGUGAGGAAUACAUCGGAAUCUACUUUUUCGUGGGGGAUAAUGUAGGGAAACUUACGCUAAUACCGCAUACGACCUACGGGUGAAAGCAGGGGAUCUUCGGACCUUGCGCGAUUGAAUGAGCCGAUGUCGGAUUAGCUAGUUGGCGGGGUAAAGGCCCACCAAGGCGACGAUCCGUAGCUGGUCUGAGAGGAUGAUCAGCCACACUGGAACUGAGACACGGUCCAGACUCCUACGGGAGGCGGCAGUGGGGAAUAUUGGACAAUGGGCGGAAGCCUGAUCCAGCCAUACCGCGUGGGUGAAGAAGGCCUUCGGGUUGUAAAGCCCUUUUGUUGGGAAAGAAAAGCAGCAGGUUAAUACCCCGCUGUUCUGACGGUACCCAAAGAAUAAGCACCGGCUAACUUCGUG
rnacentral:rRNA from 1 species